UACAGAGGGGGCAAGCGUUGUUCGGAAUUACUGGGCGUAAAGGGCGCGUAGGCGGCCUGUUAAGUCGAACGUGAAAUCCCCGGGCUCAACCCGGGAACUGCGUCCGAUACUGGCAGGCUUGAAUUCGGGAGAGGGAUGUGGAAUUCCAGGUGUAGCGGUGAAAUGCGUAGAUAUCUGGAGGAACACCGGUGGCGAAGGCGGCCGAUCCUAG
rnacentral:rRNA from 1 species